rnacentral:rRNA from 1 species
CUGAAACAUCUAAGUACCCCGAGGAAAAGAAAUCAACCGAGAUUCCCCCAGUAGCGGCGAGCGAACGGGGAGGAGCCCAGAGCCUGAAUCAGCAUGUGUGUUAGUGGAAGCGUCUGGAAAGGCGCGCGAUACAGGGUGACAGCCCCGUACACAAAAGCGCAUGUGCUGUGAGCUCGAUGAGUAGGGCGGGACACGUGGUAUCCUGUCUGAAUAUGGGGGGACCAUCCUCCAAGGCUAAAUACUCCUGACUGACCGAUAGUGAACCAGUACCGUGAGGGAAAGGCGAAAAGAACCCCGGCGAGGGGAGUGAAAAAGAACCUGAAACCGUGUACGUACAAGCAGUGGGAGCACAGGUUUACCUGUGUGACUGCGUACCUUUUGUAUAAUGGGUCAGCGACUUAUAUUCUGUAGCAAGGUUAACCGUAUAGGGGAGCCGUAGGGAAACCGAGUCUUAACCGGGCGUUAAGUUGCAGGGUAUAGACCCGAAACCCGGUGAUCUAGCCAUGGGCAGGUUGAAGGUUGGGUAACACUAACUGGAGGACCGAACCGACUAAUGUUGAAAAAUUAGCGGAUGACCUGUGGCUGGGGGUGAAAGGCCAAUCAAACCGGGAGAUAGCUGGUUCUCCCCGAAAGCUAUUUAGGUAGCGCCUCGUGAAUUCAUCUCCGGGGGUAGAGCACUGUUUCGGCUAGGGGGCCAUCCCGGCUUACCAACCCGAUGCAAACUGCGAAUACCGGAGAAUGUUAUCACGGGAGACACACGGCGGGUGCUAACGUCCGUCGUGAAGAGGGAAACAACCCAGACCGCCAGCUAAGGUCCCAAAGUCAUGGUUAAGUGGGAAACGAUGUGGGAAGGCCCAGACAGCCAGGAUGUUGGCUUAGAAGCAGCCAUCAUUUAAAGAAAGCGUAAUAGCUCACUGGUCGAGUCGGCCUGCGCGGAAGAUGUAACGGGGCUAAACCAUGCACCGAAGCUGCGGCAGCGACGCUGAUGCGUUGUUGGGUAGGGGAGCGUUCUGUAAGCCUGUGAAGGUGGCCUGUGAGGGUUGCUGGAGGUAUCAGAAGUGCGAAUGCUGACAUAAGUAACGAUAAAGCGGGUGAAAAGCCCGCUCGCCGGAAGACCAAGGGUUCCUGUCCAACGUUAAUCGGGGCAGGGUGAGUCGACCCCUAAGGCGAGGCCGAAAGGCGUAGUCGAUGGGAAACGGGUUAAUAUUCCCGUACUUGGUGUUACUGCGAAGGGGGGACGGAGAAGGCUAUGUUGGCCGGGCGACGGUUGUCCCGGUUUAAGCGUGUAGGUGUGUGUUCCAGGUAAAUCCGGUUCACUUUAACACUGAGGCGUGAUGACGAGGCACUACGGUGCUGAAGCAACAAAUGCCCUGCUUCCAGGAAAAGCCUCUAAGCAUCAGGUAACAUCAAAUCGUACCCCAAACCGACACAGGUGGUCAGGUAGAGAAUACCAAGGCGCUUGAGAGAACUCGGGUGAAGGAACUAGGCAAAAUGGUGCCGUAACUUCGGGAGAAGGCACGCUGACACGUAGGUGAAGUGAUUUACUCAUGGAGCUGAAGUCAGUCGAAGAUACCAGCUGGCUGCAACUGUUUAUUAAAAACACAGCACUGUGCAAACACGAAAGUGGACGUAUACGGUGUGACGCCUGCCCGGUGCCGGAAGGUUAAUUGAUGGGGUCAGCGCAAGCGAAGCUCCUGAUCGAAGCCCCGGUAAACGGCGGCCGUAACUAUAACGGUCCUAAGGUAGCGAAAUUCCUUGUCGGGUAAGUUCCGACCUGCACGAAUGGCGUAAUGAUGGCCAGGCUGUCUCCACCCGAGACUCAGUGAAAUUGAACUCGCUGUGAAGAUGCAGUGUACCCGCGGCAAGACGGAAAGACCCCGUGAACCUUUACUAUAGCUUGACACUGAACAUUGAGCCUUGAUGUGUAGGAUAGGUGGGAGGCUUUGAAGCGUGGACGCCAGUCUGCAUGGAGCCGGCCUUGAAAUACCACCCUUUAAUGUUUGAUGUUCUAACGUGGACCCGUGAUCCGGGUUGCGGACAGUGUCUGGUGGGUAGUUUGACUGGGGCGGUCUCCUCCUAAAGAGUAACGGAGGAGCACGAAGGUUGGCUAAUCCUGGUCGGACAUCAGGAGGUUAGUGCAAUGGCAUAAGCCAGCUUGACUGCGAGCGUGACGGCGCGAGCAGGUGCGAAAGCAGGUCAUAGUGAUCCGGUGGUUCUGAAUGGAAGGGCCAUCGCUCAACGGAUAAAAGGUACUCCGGGGAUAACAGGCUGAUACCGCCCAAGAGUUCAUAUCGACGGCGGUGUUUGGCACCUCGAUGUCGGCUCAUCACAUCCUGGGGCUGAAGUAGGUCCCAAGGGUAUGGCUGUUCGCCAUUUAAAGUGGUACGCGAGCUGGGUUUAGAACGUCGUGAGACAGUUCGGUCCCUAUCUGCCGUGGGCGCUGGAGAACUGAGGGGGGCUGCUCCUAGUACGAGAGGACCGGAGUGGACGCAUCACUGGUGUUCGGGUUGUCAUGCCAAUGGCACUGCCCGGUAGCUAAAUGCGGAAGAGAUAAGUGCUGAAAGCAUCUAAGCACGAAACUUGCCCCGAGAUGAGUUCUCCCUGAGACUUAGAGUCUCCUGAAGGAACGUUGAAGACGACGACGUUGAUAGGCCGGGUGUGUAAGCGCAGCGAUGCGUUGAGCUAACCGGUACUAAUGAACCGUGAGGCUUAACCUUACAACGCCGAAG